GACCAGGGUCUUAUUGUAUAGGAGUUUUUGAAAAAUAAAGGAGCAAUAAUUCCCUUCUUCUUCUAUAUAAGAUAGAUAAGAGGGCUUUAUUGCUCCUUUAUUUUCUUUUUAUUUAUUCUAGUAUUUUAUUAGUACUCGGAAUUAAAUAUGGAUGUUUUUUUUUUUAAACAAAAGCAAAGAAAAUGUUCGAAACGAAAUUAUUUAAUUUAAAUAUUAAAUAAAUAGAAUAUGAAAUUAAAAAAAAAAAAAUAUAAAAAAUUAGAAUAGAGGGCGGAUGUAGCCAAGGGGAUUAAGGGGGGGGAUUGUGAAUCCACCAUGCGCG
rnacentral:misc_RNA from 1 species